GCCAGACUCCUACGGGAGGCAGCAGUGGGGAAUAUUGGGCAAUGGGCGCAAGCCUGACCCAGCAACGCCGCGUGAAGGAAGAAGGCUUUCGGGUUGUAAACUUCUUUUCUGAGGGACGAAGAAAGUGACGGCACCUCAGGAAUAAGCCACGGCUAACUACGUGCCAGCAGCCGCGGUAAUACGUAGGUGGCAAGCGUUAUCCGGAUUUAUUGGGUGUAAAGGGCGUGCAGGCGGGAAUGCAAGUCAGAUGUGAAAUCUAUGGGCUCAACCCAUAGCCUGCAUUUGAAACUGUAUUUCUUGAGUGCUGGAGAGGCAAUCGGAAUUCCGUGUGUAGCGGUGAAAUGCGUAGAUAUACGGAGGAACACCAGUGGCGAAGGCGGAUUGCUGGACAGUAACUGACGCUGAGGCGCGAAAGCGUGGGGAGCAAACAGGAUUAGAUACCCUCGUAA
rnacentral:rRNA from 1 species